CCAAAAACAUCUCUCUUUGUAUAAUAUAAAUAAAGAGUGGGGCCUGCUCGGUGAAACGUUUUAACAGCUGCGGUAUUUUAACUGUACUAAGGUAGCAUAAUAAUUUGCCUUAUAAUUUGAGGCUAGAAUGAAUGGUUUGACGAAGGUUAAUCUGUCUCUGCUUUAUUUUUUAGAAAUUAAUUUUCAUAGUGAAAAAGCUUGAAUUUCUUAAGGGGACGAGAAGACCCUACUGAGCUUAUAAUUUUAUUAUCACAUAUAUUUAUGUAUAAUGUGCUAUAUAAAUUUUAAUUGGGGUGAUUAAGGAAUAAUAUAGCUAUUUUAUAACUUCCUUAGAUAUUAUAUUGUUGAAUUAAGUAACCGAUUAAUUAAUAGAAUUGUAUUAUGUAUUGCUUAUAAUAUAGUUACCAUAGGGAUAACAGCGUAAUUUACUUAGAGAGUUCUUAUUGAAAAGUAAGAUUGCGACCUCGAUGUGGAUUAAAGUGACCUUAAGGUGCAGAAGC
rnacentral:rRNA from 1 species